rnacentral:misc_RNA from 1 species
AAGUCGUAACAAGGUUUCCGUAGGUGAACCUGCGGAAGGAUCAUUCAUAAUUGAGUGUUUUAUGGCAUUCUUUAAAAAAUCCAUAUCCACCUUGUGUGCAACGUUUUUAGACACCCUGGCGCUGAUAUCUCUUUUUAUAAGAGAAGGAAAGCCAGGAUGUUUGAUUAACUUAACUCAACUCCUUUAAAACAGUUUGUCUGAAUACCUAUUUCUGAAUAACAUAAUUCAAAAAUACAACUUUCAACAACGGAUCUCUUGGCUCUC